GGUUAAGCGACUAAGCGUACACGGUGGAUGCCCUGGCAGUCAGAGGCGAUGAAGGACGUGCUAAUCUGCGAUAAGCGUCGGUAAGGUGAUAUGAACCGUUAUAACCGGCGAUUUCCGAAUGGGGAAACCCAGUGUGUUUCGACACACUAUCAUUAACUGAAUCCAUAGGUUAAUGAGGCGAACCGGGGGAACUGAAACAUCUAAGUACCCCGAGGAAAAGAAAUCAACCGAGAUUCCCCCAGUAGCGGCGAGCGAACGGGGAGCAGCCCAGAGCCUGAAUCAGUGUGUGUGUUAGUGGAAGCGUCUGGAAAGGCGCGCGAUACAGGGUGACAGCCCCGUACACAAAAAUGCACAUGCUGUGAGCUCGAUGAGUAGGGCGGGACACGUGGUAUCCUGUCUGAAUAUGGGGGGACCAUCCUCCAAGGCUAAAUACUCCUGACUGACCGAUAGUGAACCAGUACCGUGAGGGAAAGGCGAAAAGAACCCCGGCGAGGGGAGUGAAAAAGAACCUGAAACCGUGUACGUACAAGCAGUGGGAGCACGCUUAGGCGUGUGACUGCGUACCUUUUGUAUAAUGGGUCAGCGACUUAUAUUCUGUAGCAAGGUUAACCGAAUAGGGGAGCCGAAGGGAAACCGAGUCUUAACUGGGCGUUAAGUUGCAGGGUAUAGACCCGAAACCCGGUGAUCUAGCCAUGGGCAGGUUGAAGGUUGGGUAACACUAACUGGAGGACCGAACCGACUAAUGUUGAAAAAUUAGCGGAUGACUUGUGGCUGGGGGUGAAAGGCCAAUCAAACCGGGAGAUAGCUGGUUCUCCCCGAAAGCUAUUUAGGUAGCGCCUCGUGAAUUCAUCUCCGGGGGUAGAGCACUGUUUCGGCAAGGGGGUCAUCCCGACUUACCAACCCGAUGCAAACUGCGAAUACCGGAGAAUGUUAUCACGGGAGACACACGGCGGGUGCUAACGUCCGUCGUGAAGAGGGAAACAACCCAGACCGCCAGCUAAGGUCCCAAAGUCAUGGUUAAGUGGGAAACGAUGUGGGAAGGCCCAGACAGCCAGGAUGUUGGCUUAGAAGCAGCCAUCAUUUAAAGAAAGCGUAAUAGCUCACUGGUCGAGUCGGCCUGCGCGGAAGAUGUAACGGGGCUAAACCAUGCACCGAAGCUGCGGCAGCGACGCUGAUGCGUUGUUGGGUAGGGGAGCGUUCUGUAAGCCUGCGAAGGUGUGCUGUGAGGCAUGCUGGAGGUAUCAGAAGUGCGAAUGCUGACAUAAGUAACGAUAAAGCGGGUGAAAAGCCCGCUCGCCGGAAGACCAAGGGUUCCUGUCCAACGUUAAUCGGGGCAGGGUGAGUCGACCCCUAAGGCGAGGCCGAAAGGCGUAGUCGAUGGGAAACAGGUUAAUAUUCCUGUACUUGGUGUUACUGCGAAGGGGGGACGGAGAAGGCUAUGUUGGCCGGGCGACGGUUGUCCCGGUUUAAGCGUGUAGGCUGGUUUUCCAGGCAAAUCCGGAAAAUCAAGGCUGAGGCGUGAUGACGAGGCACUACGGUGCUGAAGCAACAAAUGCCCUGCUUCCAGGAAAAGCCUCUAAGCAUCAGGUAACAUCAAAUCGUACCCCAAACCGACACAGGUGGUCAGGUAGAGAAUACCAAGGCGCUUGAGAGAACUCGGGUGAAGGAACUAGGCAAAAUGGUGCCGUAACUUCGGGAGAAGGCACGCUGAUAUGUAGGUGAGGUCCCUCGCGGAUGGAGCUGAAAUCAGUCGAAGAUACCAGCUGGCUGCAACUGUUUAUUAAAAACACAGCACUGUGCAAACACGAAAGUGGACGUAUACGGUGUGACGCCUGCCCGGUGCCGGAAGGUUAAUUGAUGGGGUCAGCGCAAGCGAAGCUCUUGAUCGAAGCCCCGGUAAACGGCGGCCGUAACUAUAACGGUCCUAAGGUAGCGAAAUUCCUUGUCGGGUAAGUUCCGACCUGCACGAAUGGCGUAAUGAUGGCCAGGCUGUCUCCACCCGAGACUCAGUGAAAUUGAACUCGCUGUGAAGAUGCAGUGUACCCGCGGCAAGACGGAAAGACCCCGUGAACCUUUACUAUAGCUUGACACUGAACAUUGAGCCUUGAUGUGUAGGAUAGGUGGGAGGCUUGGAAGUGUGGACGCCAGUCUGCAUGGAGCCGACCUUGAAAUACCACCCUUUAAUGUUUGAUGUUCUAACGUUGACCCGUAAUCCGGGUUGCGGACAGUGUCUGGUGGGUAGUUUGACUGGGGCGGUCUCCUCCUAAAGAGUAACGGAGGAGCACGAAGGUUGGCUAAUCCUGGUCGGACAUCAGGAGGUUAGUGCAAUGGCAUAAGCCAGCUUGACUGCGAGCGUGACGGCGCGAGCAGGUGCGAAAGCAGGUCAUAGUGAUCCGGUGGUUCUGAAUGGAAGGGCCAUCGCUCAACGGAUAAAAGGUACUCCGGGGAUAACAGGCUGAUACCGCCCAAGAGUUCAUAUCGACGGCGGUGUUUGGCACCUCGAUGUCGGCUCAUCACAUCCUGGGGCUGAAGUAGGUCCCAAGGGUAUGGCUGUUCGCCAUUUAAAGUGGUACGCGAGCUGGGUUUAGAACGUCGUGAGACAGUUCGGUCCCUAUCUGCCGUGGGCGCUGGAGAACUGAGGGGGGCUGCUCCUAGUACGAGAGGACCGGAGUGGACGCAUCACUGGUGUUCGGGUUGUCAUGCCAAUGGCACUGCCCGGUAGCUAAAUGCGGAAGAGAUAAGUGCUGAAAGCAUCUAAGCACGAAACUUGCCCCGAGAUGAGUUCUCCCUGACCCUUUAAGGGUCCUGAAGGAACGUUGAAGACGACGACGUUGAUAGGCCGGGUGUGUAAGCGCAGCGAUGCGUUGAGCUAACCGGUACUAAUGAACCGUGAGGCUUAACCUU
rnacentral:rRNA from 1 species